GUUUACAAGUUUAAUCAGCAACCCCCCGAAAAGGCAUAAGCUCUUACGGUGAUUUCAAGAGUAAAGGAAUGUAAAUAAAGCAACUUGAAACAUCA